GGGAGAACCUAAGGCUCUGGCAUCUACCUAGUAAAAUUCCUAUUAAGGUUUAAAAAAAAAAAAGACCUUGCAACUGAAAACAAAACACAAAAAUUUGCUUGAAAUGGCAAAUUUAUGCCCAAACCUCAAGCUAUUUAGGCACUUUCCAAACUCAGCUCAAGAGCAAUGGAAAUAGGUUCAUUGUUAAUUUACGUUGGGUUAAAAAUACUUUUUAUUUUCAAUGAUAAUUUUGGCUGUUAACUUUAGCUCAAAACUUCUACAGUUACCUGAAGAGUUUCAGCAUUGCUCACCAGCUCUCCCACAUAGCCAGCACACUUCAUAGACUGCCAUUGUGAUCAGCUUCAGUGUUCAUGUGCCUUUCCAUGUGCAGUCAGAUUUAGAAGUUCUACUGUUUCGCAGCUUUGCAGUGGAUAAUUUCUCCUUGCCAGGAGAUGUGGUUGCUGAAGUCAGAUCUCUUAGUCCAUUAUGUUAUAGUUGAAUACCCAAGUCUGGGAAACAAACAAACAAACAAACAACAGCAACAACAAAAAUGAAAGAAAAGAGAAGAAAAGAAAAGAAAAAAGAAUGGAAGGAAGGCAGGAAGAAAGAAAGCAAGCCUUGUGGAGCCCACACUUCUGGAAGCAGCGAAGCCACAUUUGAUUAUAGGAUGUUUUAAACUUUACAUCAAGGAACAAGAGAUGACUCAGUGAUCAAGAGUGCCCCAACUCUGACUCCAGGAGCUUCUGUGUCCUCUUCAGGCUUCUGUAUGAAAGCAAGCAUCAUCAGCUGAGUGACAACCUUCUUAAAAAUACCUGGGCUGCCCAGCAAAUGAAAACAUGAGUUUAAUCCUGCUAGGAAGGAAAGCAUCCACUCCCCUGGGAAGACUAUGAUCUACUUCAGUCAUACUCCCAGAUGCUAGCAAGAGUGACGUGGCUCUAUCAAUGUUUAACACCCACCCUGGUUAGAACCUAGUCAGCCCUGAACCAGCACUGCCUUUUCAUCCACAUCCAUUUCUUUUGCCACCUCCUUCCACUAAGAUGCUGUUUCUUUCUAUUUACCACCCCACAGGCAUCCAGACAAGGCUCUUGCACCCUUGUGCUCUAUAUAUUGGAGUAGCCACUAGCUAUGUUUGUGUGUGUGUGUGUGUGUGUGUGUGUAUUCUCUUAAAAUGAUUGAAAAAUUUAGAACUCAUAUUCUCCAUUGCUUUAUAAAGUAAGUGUACCCAAUGGUCCUUCAAUGCCUGGUGGCUUCAGUUUGUGUAAAACAAUUUUUCUAGCAUGUGAAUUUUUAUCUUAUAGCUGUAUCAGAGCACAUUUCCAUUCUGUUUCUCCUGGUGUGUGUGGAUAUCCAACAGGCCUAGUGUUUUCAUAGAUGUGUCCUUAAGGACAAGCUUGGUUCUUUAUCAUGGUG
rnacentral:lncRNA from 1 species